GGAACUGUUUGUCUACACAUAGAGUUGUACGCAAAUGUCUAAACAGAAAGGAAGCAAUCGCUAAGUUUUCCUAGGAGGAAAUACUGCAGAGUGUUCAUCACUGAAUAUGGGUCUCUGGAAGGACAUGGAAGAUUGUUAUACUACUACUGCUACAUUUUAGCUUCUCUGGAAAAUUGAGCAAACCAUCGACCAGCAAGCAAGAAGACAGAAUGAUCAGGAGAAAGGACCAAUGAAGCUGUUAUCUUUAAGCCUAAGUUACUAGUUUCUGUGACGGACACUUCUGGCCAAGCAUUUCAUCGCCAUCAUUGGCAGAAGACAGAAGGCAUCGUAUUAAGAACAAAGCAGCUUUCCCACAGAAACCUGGACAGCCUACAGAACUACAUCCUCAAGGCCUGUCUACUCACUGAGGCCAUGUUGCUUCGCUAUGGACCCUGUGAAGUCAUGUUCUUUCUUUUAGAGCAAAGAAGAUGAGUCCAUGAACAUCAUGAUUGGGAGCAUGGGAACAGGCAGCAGACAUUAUGCUGGAUCAGUAGCUGAGAACUCGGUACGCUGAGGCAACGAUCACAUGGUGUGUAUGGAAGACCAGCUGAGACAUCCAGCCUUGUGGACUGAGGAACUACUGGAUUCCUGUACUUUCUGUUCAUAGCCAGCCAUUGUUGGAUUAGCUGAACUACACCCUAAGAACCAUCAAGAUUUUGAAACUUGUCUAACAUCAAAUUUUACAGGAAUGCUGAUAAUGGGUAAAGAAAGAAAGAAAUGAAAUUGAAACUAAGGUGGGAGAAAAACCACAUGGAACAUGGAACGAGAAGAGACCUGGGGAGAAAGGAUUUCAAGGAUGAAGGAGAGAUGAAACCAGUGUUGGCAUGCUGAGAAUUCAGACUGGAAAGGACACACUAUGAAGCACAAACCAUUAAUACCUUUUCUAUGAGUGAUACCGCCCGAACAAAUGGAUUCUUGAUAGUCACAGGAGUUGUUUACUCUACUGGAUUUUGGCAGUGUGCAAGUUCUUACAAGAACAUAAGAAAUGUUUUCAAAAAAGAAACUAUCCUUUUGGAGAUGGAAGAAAAAAAUCUCUACUGGUAAUAAAAAUGUUUAUAUAUAAGUCAGCUUCCAUCUCCUAAAGAAUACUUUGUUCUGGAGUGAAAUGUUUGAGCCAAUCCCAAAUGAUUUACCAGAAUAAUACUUCCAAACAUAUAGGA